CAGCUUUAAGAUGGAGGCAACUCGCUCAGUGUUUCCUGUUUCAUUCUUAGACUGUGGCGAUGGUAAGUAGCAGCUUUUCACUUGUUACCUGGCAUCUUUUCAGCCACCAAUGAUAGUCAUUGUAUGUUAUCAACAUUUCACUAACUAUGUUUUCUCUCAUGUUUAAAAUAGGCCGACCAAGAGCAAAAUAGAAGACAACAAUUUCUCAAAGGAGGUUCAAAACUAAUGCCUACAAGAUUACCAAGAGGAUGGUUCGGGGCUCUUACAUGACUCCGGGAAGUCAACACUUGGUGGAUGAGAUCCUUCACAGCAUGUUGUUUCUGGGCAAAAUCAACAACAUCCCCUUUUCUCCAGAAGAAAUCUUCCCUAAUCCUU